GCCCUAACACAUGCAAGUCGAGCGGAAACGACACUAACAAUCCUUCGGGUGCGUUAAUGGGCGUCGAGCGGCGGACGGGUGAGUAAUGCCUAGGAAAUUGCCUUGAUGUGGGGGAUAACCAUUGGAAACGAUGGCUAAUACCGCAUGAUGCCUACGGGCCAAAGAGGGGGACCUUCGGGCCUCUCGCGUCAAGAUAUGCCUAGGUGGGAUUAGCUAGUUGGUGAGGUAAUGGCUCACCAAGGCGACGAUCCCUAGCUGGUCUGAGAGGAUGAUCAGCCACACUGGAACUGAGACACGGUCCAGACUCCUACGGGAGGCAGCAGUGGGGAAUAUUGCACAAUGGGCGAAAGCCUGAUGCAGCCAUGCCGCGUGUAUGAAGAAAGCCUUCGGGUUGUAAAGUACUUUCAGUUGUGAGGAAGGGUGUGUAGUUAAUAGCUGCGCAUCUUGACGUUAGCAACAGAAGAAGCACCCGGCUAACUCCGUGCCAGCAGCCGCGGUAAUACGGAGGGUGCGAGCGUUAAUCGGAAUUACUGGGCGUAAAGCGCAUGCAGGUGGUUCAUUAAGUCAGAUGUGAAAGCCCG
rnacentral:rRNA from 1 species